AGAGUUUGAUCAUGGCUCAGGACGAACGCUGGCGGCGCGCUUAACACAUGCAAGUCGAGCGAGAACCCAGGCUUCGGCCUGGGGGAAAGCGGCGAACGGGUGAGUAACACGUGGGUAAUCUGCCCUCGGCAUCGGGAUAGCCCGGGGAAACCCGGAUUAAUACCGGAUGGCCCGACAGCUCUUCGGAGCGGUCGGAAAAGGUAGCUUCGGCCUCCGGCCGAGGAGGAGCCCGCGGCGGAUUAGCUUGUUGGUGAGGUAACGGCUCACCAAGGCUCCGAUCCGUAGCUGGUCUGAGAGGACGAUCAGCCACACUGGGACUGAGACACGGCCCAGACUCCUACGGGAGGCAGCAGUGGGGAAUCUUGCGCAAUGGGCGAAAGCCUGACGCAGCGACGCCGCGUGAGGGAAGAAGGCCUUCGGGUUGUAAACCUCUUUCAGGAGGGACGAAGCCACUCGGGUUAACAGCCCAGAGGGUGACGGUACCUCCAGAAGAAGCCCCGGCUAACUACGUGCCAGCAGCCGCGGUAAUACGUAGGGGGCUAGCGUUGUCCGGAUUUAUUGGGCGUAAAGAGCGUGUAGGCGGCCAGGUAGGUCUGCUGUGAAAACUCGAGGCUCAACCUCGAGACGUCGGCGGAAACCAUCUGGCUAGAGUCCGGAAGAGGAGAGUGGAAUUCCUGGUGUAGCGGUGAAAUGCGCAGAUAUCAGGAAGAACACCCGUGGCGAAGGCGGCUCUCUGGGACGGUACUGACGCUGAGACGCGAAAGCGUGGGGAGCGAACAGGAUUAGAUACCCUGGUAGUCCACGCCGUAAACGAUGGGUGCUAGGUGUGGGCGGUGUCGACUCCGUCCGUGCCGAAGCUAACGCAUUAAGCACCCCGCCUGGGGAGUACGGCCGCAAGGCUAAACUCAAAUGAAUUGACGG
rnacentral:rRNA from 1 species